rnacentral:rRNA from 1 species
UACGUAGGGUGCAAGCGUUAAUCGGAAUUACUGGGCGUAAGGCGCGCGUAGGCGGCUUUGCAAGUCGAGUGUGAAAUCCCCAGGCUUAACCUGGGAACUGCAUUCGAGACUGCAUAGCUAGAGUAUGGGAGAGGGAAGUGGAAUUUCAGGUGUAGCGGUGAAAUGCGUAGAUAUCUGAAGGAACAUCAGUGGCGAAAGCGACUUCCUGGACCAAUACUGACGCUCAUGUGCGAAAGCGUGGGGGAGCAAACAGG